rnacentral:rRNA from 1 species
GUCUAUGGCCAUGCCACCUUGAAUGUGCCUGAUCCCUUCUGGUCUCGGAAGCUAAGCAGGGUCGGGCCUGGUUAGUACUUGGAUGGGAGACUACAUAGGAAUACCAGGUUCUGUAGGUG